GACGAACGCUGGCGGCGUGCUUAACACAUGCAAGUCGAACGGAAAGGCCCUGCUUUUGUGGGGUGCUCGAGUGGCGAACGGGUGAGUAACACGUGAGUAACCUGCCCUUGACUUUGGGAUAACUUCAGGAAACUGGGGCUAAUACCGGAUACGAGCUCCUGCUGCAUGGUGGGGGUUGGAAAGUUUCGGCGGUUGGGGAUGGACUCGCGGCUUAUCGGCUUGUUGGUGGGGUAGUGGCUUACCAAGGCUUUGACGGGUAGCCGGCCUGAGAGGGUGACCGGCCACAUUGGGACUGAGAUACGGCCCAGACUCCUACGGGAGGCAGCAGUGGGGAAUAUUGCACAAUGGGCGGAAGCCUGAUGCAGCAACGCCGCGUGCGGGAUGACGGCCUUCGGGUUGUAAACCGCUUUCGCCUGUGACGAAGCGUGAGUGACGGUAAUGGGUAAAGAAGCACCGGCUAACUACGUG
rnacentral:rRNA from 1 species